UACGAAGGGUGCUAGCGUUGUUCGGAUUUACUGGGCGUAAAGGGCACGUAGGCGGUUAGAUAAGAUAGGGGUGAAAUCCCGGGGCUCAACCUCGGAACUGCCUUUAUGACUGUCUAGCUAGAGUACUAGAGAGGAUAGCGGAAUACCAAGUGUAGAGGUGAAAUUCGUAGAUAUUUGGAGGAACACCAGUGGCGAAGGCGACUUUCUGGUCUGUAACUGACGCUGAGGCGCGAAAGCGUGGGGAGCAAACAGG
rnacentral:rRNA from 1 species